UGCAAAAGCACAUUGAAAAAUGCAGCCCUUGGACAUUUUUCAGCAUGGUCAGAAGUGUGAGAAAUGAAAGAAGACAGGGUAAGAACAGACACCAGGGAGCACAGGGAUCAUUGUCAACUUCCUGCUUGACUUGGACUCAUUGAAAAAAGUGCAGGAAAUGGAGUCCCCUUAGUGUCUGCUCAGAUCACAUCACUGCUGCCUGGUUGGUUUUCCACAGGCCUUGUAAGAAGAGAACAACAAACAGCUCCUGAAAUGGGGUCCUACAGUUGCAGUUCAGGUGGAUUACAAGAAAUCGAACUGGAUGCUGAGGCAGUGUGGCUGGUGGAGCAAAGGAGAGGCUUAUGAUCAGUAAGAAAACCAUACUGAGGAAUGAGGGUGAAAGCGAAGAGCAAAGUAAACC
rnacentral:lncRNA from 1 species